rnacentral:rRNA from 1 species
AGGAAGGAGAAGUCGUAACAAGGUUUCCGUAGGUGAACCUGCGGAAGGAUCAUUGUCGAGACCGAAAAAUAUAUCGAGCGAUUCAGACAACACGUGAAAUGAGCGAACAACCAUCCUAGCUGUCGCCCCAGAAUCUGUUUUAGAGGAAGGGGCGCAGCGGAGGUGGAUGAACCUCAAACAGGCGCAGCAUCGCGUCAAGGGAAGAUUAAAAUCCACGAGCCUCACAUUGGGCUUGGUGGCGUGGAGUGCUAUUGCACGCCACGUAGGCAGGCACGACUCUCGGCAAUGGAUAUCUCGGCUCUUGCAUCGAUGAAGAGCGCAGCGAAAUGCGAUACGUGGUGCGAAUUGCAGAAUCCCGCGAACCAUCGAGUCUUUGAACGCAAGUUGCGCCCGAGGCCAGCCGGCCAAGGGCACGUCUGCCUGGGCGUCAAGCGUUGCAUCGCUCCGUGCCAAUUGUCUCACCGAUCGGUGUAUUGAGCUAGGCUCGGAUGCGUAGAGUGGCCCGUCGUGCUUGUCGGUGCGGCGAGUUGAAGAGCGGGUUUCAUCUCAGCGGGCACGAACAAUAAGGGGUGGGUGAAAGCUCUUAGCGCAGCCUGCAUUGUCUCGUGCCUGCCUGAGAGAUGGAUUGUGCCUUUGAUAUGAUCCCCAACCACGCGCUGGUCGGCAUGCGGCGGCUUGGAAAGUGACCCCAGGAUGGGCGAGGCCACCCGCCGAGUUUAAGCAUAUCAAUA